rnacentral:rRNA from 1 species
CCUACGGGAGGCAGCAGUGGGGGAUAUUGGACAAUGGGGGGAACCCUGAUCCAGCGACGCCGCGUGAGUGAAGAAGUAUUUCGGUAUGUAAAGCUCUGUCAGCAGGGAAGAAAGAAAUGACGGUACCUGACAAAGAAGCCCCGGCCAACUACGUGACAGCAGCCGCGGUAAUAAGUAGGGGGCCAGCGUUAUACGGAAUUACUGGGUGUAAAGGGAGCGUAGACGGUUAAGUAAGUCUGGAGUGAAAGGCCGGGGCCCAACCCCGGGACUGCUCUGGAAACUAGUGGACUUGAGUGCAGGAGAGGUAAGCGGAAUUCCUAGUGGAGCGGUGAAAUGCGUAGAGAUUAGGAGGAACACCGGUGGCGAAGGCGGCUUACUGGACUGUAACUGACGUUGAGGCUCGAAAGCGUGGGGAGCAAACAGGAUUAGAUACCCGAGUAGUC